AGAGUUUGAUCCUGGCUCAGGAUGAACGCUGGCGGCGUGCUUAACACAUGCAAGUCGAGCGAAGCACUCGGCCUUGAAUCUUCGGAGGAAAGGCGGUUUGACUGAGCGGCGGACGGGUGAGUAACGCGUGGGCAACCUGCCCCAUACGGGGGGAUAACAGUUAGAAAUGACUGCUAAUACCGCAUAAGACCGCGGUGCCGCAUGGCACAGCGGUAAAAACUCCGGUGGUAUGGGAUGGGCCCGCGUCUGAUUAGCUAGUUGGCGGGGUAACGGCCCACCAAGGCGACGAUCAGUAGCCGACCUGAGAGGGCGACCGGCCACAUUGGGACUGAGACACGGCCCAAACUCCUACGGUAGGCAGCAGUGGGGAAUAUUGCACAAUGGGGGAAACCCUGAUGCAGCGACGCCGCGUGAGCGAUGAAGUAUUUCGGUAUGUAAAGCUCUAUCAGCAGGGAAGAAGAUGACGGUACCUGACUAAGAAGCCCCGGCUAACUACGUGCCAGCAGCCGCGGUAAUACGUAGGGGGCAAGCGUUAUCCGGAUUUACUGGGUGUAAAGGGAGCGUAGACGGCGAUGCAAGCCAGAUGUGAAAGCCCGGGGCUCAACCCCGGGACUGCAUUUGGAACUGUGUGGCUGGAGUGUCGGAGAGGCAGGCGGAAUUCCUAGUGUAGCGGUGAAAUGCGUAGAUAUUAGGAGGAACACCAGUGGCGAAGGCGGCCUGCUGGACGAUGACUGACGUUGAGGCUCGAAAGCGUGGAGAGCAAACAGGAUUAGAUACCCUGGUAGUCCACGCCGUAAACGAUGACUGCUAGGUGUCGGGCGGCAAAGCCGUUCGGUGCCGCAGCAAACGCAAUAAGCAGUCCACCUGGGGAGUACGUUCGCAAGAAUGAAACUCAAAGGAAUUGACGGGGACCCGCACAAGCGGUGGAGCAUGUGGUUUAAUUCGAAGCAACGCGAAGAACCUUACCUGGCCUUGACAUCCCGAUGACCGUCCAGUAACGUGGACCUCCCUUCGGGGCAUCGGAGACAGGUGGUGCAUGGUUGUCGUCAGCUCGUGUCGUGAGAUGUUGGGUUAAGUCCCGCAACGAGCGCAACCCUUGUCAUUAGUUGCUACGCAAGAGCACUCUAAUGAGACUGCCGUUGACAAAACGGAGGAAGGUGGGGACGACGUCAAAUCAUCAUGCCCCUUAUGACCUGGGCUACACACGUACUACAAUGGGUGGUACAGAGGGCAGCCAAGUCGUGAGGCGGAGCUAAUCCCUUAAAGCCAUUCUCAGUUCGGAUUGUAGGCUGAAACUCGCCUACAUGAAGCUGGAGUUACUAGUAAUCGCAGAUCAGAAUGCUGCGGUGAAUGCGUUCCCGGGUCUUGCACACACCGCCCGUCA
rnacentral:rRNA from 1 species